AGUGAACGCUGGCGGUAGGCCUAACACAUGCAAGUCGAACGGCAGCACAGUAAGAGCUUGCUCUUACGGGUGGCGAGUGGCGGACGGGUGAGGAAUACAUCGGAAUCUACUUUUUCGUGGGGGAUAACGUAGGGAAACUUACGCUAAUACCGCAUACGACCUACGGGUGAAAGCAGGGGAUCUUCGGACCUUGCGGGAUGGAAUGGGCCGAUGUCGGAUUAGCUAGUUGGCGGGGUAGUGGCCAACCAAGGCGACGAUGGGUAGCUGGUCUGAGAGGGUGACCGGCCACAGUGGGACUGAGAUACGGCCCAGACUCCGACGGGAGGCAGCAGUGGGGAAUAUUGCACAAUGGGCGGAAGCCUGAUGCAGCAACGCCGCGUGCGGGAUGACGGCCUUCGGGUUGUAAAACGCUUUCGCCUGUGACGAAGCGUGAGUGAAGGUAAUGGGUAAAGAAGCACCGGCUAACUACGUG
rnacentral:rRNA from 1 species